GGGGGUGUAGCUCAGUGGUAGAGCGCUUGCCUAGCAUAUGCCAGGGCCUGGGUUCAAUCCCCAGUACCACCA
rfam:Ictidomys tridecemlineatus contig015838, whole genome shotgun sequence.